GACGAACCGUGCGAACGUUGUUCGGAAUCACUGGGCUUAAAGGGCGCGUAGGCGGGCGAUCAAGUCAGGGGUGAAAUCUUUCGGCUCAACCGGAAAACAGCCUCUGAUACUGGUCGUCUUGAGUGAGGUAGGGCAUGUGGAACUUCCGGUGGAGCGGUGAAAUGACGUAGAUAUCGGAAGGAACGCCGGUGGCGAAAGCGACGUGCUGGACCUCUUCUGACGCUGAGGCGCGAAAGCUAGGGGAGCAAACGGG
rnacentral:rRNA from 1 species